rnacentral:ribozyme from 1 species
UUUUUUUUUUUUUUUUUUUUUUUUUUUUUCUCCAAAUCUGCGCA